CCUACGGGAGGCUGCAGUGAAGAAUAUUGGUCAAUGGGCGAGAGCCUGAACCAGCCAAGUCGCGUGAAGGAUGACGGCCCUACGGGUUGUAAACUUCUUUUGUCAGGGAGCAAUUGGGUCCACGCGUGGGCUUAGCGAGAGUACCUGAAGAAAAAGCAUCGGCUAACUCCGUGCCAGCAGCCGCGGUAAUACGGAGGAUGCGAGCGUUAUCCGGAUUUAUUGGGUUUAAAGGGUGCGUAGGCGGAAUAUCAAGUCAGCGGUAAAAAUUCGGGGCUCAACUCCGUCGUGCCGUUGAAACUGAUGUUCUGGAGUGGGCGAGAAGUAUGCGGAAUGCGUGGUGUAGCGGUGAAAUGCAUAGAUAUCACGCAGAACUCCGAUUGCGAAGGCAGCAUACCGGCGCCCAACUGACGCUGAAGCACGAAAGCGUGGGUAUCGAACAGGAUUAGAUACCCGGGUAGUC
rnacentral:rRNA from 1 species